rfam:Salmo salar isolate Sally breed double haploid chromosome ssa05, whole genome shotgun sequence.
UGGCUCAGUUGGUAGAGCAUGGUGUGUGCAACACCAGGGUUGUGGGUUCGAUUCCCAC